UACGGGGGGGGCAAGCGUUGUUCGGAAUUACUGGGCGUAAAGGGCUCGUAGGCGGCCAACUAAGUCAGACGUGAAAUCCCUCGGCUUAACCGGGGAACUGCGUCUGAUACUGGAUGGCUUGAGUUCGGGAGAGGGAUGCGGAAUUCCAGGUGUAGCGGUGAAAUGCGUAGAUAUCUGAAGGAACACCGGUGGCGAAGGCGGCAUCCUGGACCGACACUGACGCUGAGGAGCGAAGGCCAGGGGAGCAAACGGG
rnacentral:rRNA from 1 species